UCCUUUCCCGGCCUCAUCCAGAAAUUUCUCCUGGCGGCGCGCGGGCUCGGGCUCGGCUGCUGCAAUCCGCCGCCGAUGCCACGCCCUGACUGAGCGGGUGCCAGACGGGAGACGGCAUUGGUGCGCGUCCUGGAGUCCUGGACGGCCGACGGCGGGAUCCUACUGAGCAGCACCGAGCCGGGGACGGACGCCCCUCGAUGGCUCGACCUCGAGAGAGCUGCUGCUUCCGGUUGGUGUUGCAGGUGAUAUACUUACUGUUGCUCAUUUGUACCGUAGUUUGUUCAGAAAAAAAAUGUUUAUAGGUGUGAAAAGGGGAGAAAAAUAGGAUAGUGUCUGAUGUUUAUAGGUGCAGAGAAGAAGGGGCUGUGAUCUGUAUCUAUGACCAAAAUCUCACUUGUGGCCACUUCUUGAUCAUGGAAUCUUGCUGUUGAGGGUCCAGCAUGUGGUCAGGCUGUGUUUAUGAAAACCCGUUUUAUUUGAUUCAA